AUUUAAUAGUCAGGAACAGGUGACUCUUUACGAGUUGAAAAGGGAAGUUUGGUGAGAUUCCAACGCGGUCCCGCCACUGUAACAGGGAGAAACCUUGCAUUUUGCCACUGAGCGGUUUGCCCGGGAAGGCGCAAGGGGACUAUGAACUGUGAGCCAGGAGACCUGCCUGUUCCGGUCUGCCGUC
rnacentral:ncRNA from 2 species